AGUUUUGCUUUGGUACUGCAGUUCAGUUUAGCUGAUGCCUGGCCCAGAAAGAAUAAUUUCCAUUGGCGGCCAGAUUUGAAAUUUCCUUCAUCACCUUUUUCCACAAAACACCCACUGAAUUAUUCAGUUAAUUAUUACAGAGGCCGAAAGUAUAUAUAUAUUUUUUAAUCACAUAGACUAAGUUAUUUUAUAUUCAUCCAAUGUCUGUCAUGUUUUCGUUGCUGCUUGCGCUGAGUGCUAGUGCCAUGCGCAUCCAGUAUAAACUCGAUGCAACCUGGAAUCGGGAUAAUGAGAACAUACAGGGAAGACCCUCACUGGGGUAGCCAAAAGGGUCAGGCUCCGAAACAAAUAGGGAAUAUUUAUAACCGCUAGCCGCAUAAUUCGAGAUUGAAUUACUUUUACCCUUGUCAGUUUGUGCAAUAAAUGAGAAUGACCUCAAAUCAUUUCUCUCUCCAUCCCUCUUUCCAUGCAGGUCCAUUGUCACUAAUAUGUGGUGUUGGAGUUUGUCUCUGCUCAGCUGACAGACAGGAGAUACAGGAAUCCAUUCUGUUCCAAAUUAUGCUGAUGCCCCAUUGUAAGAACCUGGAGAUAUUCACUGGCUCUGAGGGAGGUGAUGUUGCUACAAACAAUGCUUGGGACAGCUUCCAGCCCUACUGUUAUCUGGAGAACAGCCAGAGAGUGGUCAAGACAUCUGCCACAACUCCAUCUUUAGUGUGUCAGCUCUGCUGCACCUGGGCACUAAAGAUUGAUCUGGCUUGCUGAUAACAUCUGAUCUGAUGAGACUCCCGAUGUGAUUUGACUCCUAUAUUAAUGACUUCAAUAAAACUUCCAAUGCCAAAUUGAGAUUGGUAUUCUGCAAUUGAUACACAAUGGUAGUUCCCAGUCAGACAAUAACUAUAAAACCAAUGUUUUCCUCAGUGAAUGUGUUUUGCCCUCAGUCCUCCUUUUGAAUGUUAUGUGUACUGAUUCAGUUCUAAACGACUGUCAAAUCCAUCCUCACUUACUCGAUCACUGCAACGGAGUGUCUGGUCUUCUGAGAUGGUCCUUGACUGCCGCCUGCCCUGCAUCGAAGUCCUGCAGGACAAGGAAGCGUGCAGGAAAGAUCAUUGCCGACCCCUUCCAUCCCCUCUUCCAAAGACUCCCCUCUGGCAAAUGGUUAAGGUCAAUCACGACCAAAACCUCCCGCCACCUGAACAGUUUCUUCCCCAGCGCCGUGGCCCUCACCAACUGGCCACCUGGUCCACGGAUCAUCCGCUCAUCCACAGACUAUGUACCUUGCACUAUCAUCCCAGAACUGCAAAUUGUUCUUCGCAUCUCUUACAUGCAUCAUUUAUGUAGUGUAGCUUAUAGCGUAGUUUAACGUUUUUAGCUUAAUGUUCAUUGUAUAAACACUGGAUCUGCAUCUAUAUUUGGUCUGCCAGCACCAUUUCAGAGUCAAAUUCCUGUACAUGUAUUUGUCGAAUAAAGCUGAUUCUGACAUGCUAA